GGAGAAGUGGAUACUAUCUUAAGUAUCAAAAUUAAAAAAAUAUAGUAGGGGUUUUGCUUUGAGUCAAUCUCAUUAUAUUGAUAAGAUUCUUUCCAAGUAUAAUCAUUUAUAUAUCAAAGAAGCUACUACUCCUUUUGAUGUUUUUAACAAAUUAUUUGAAAAUUCUGGAAGAUCUGUAAGUCAAUUAGACUAUGGUAGUGCAAUUGAUAGUUUGAUGUAUGUAUGCAUUGCACUAGGCCAGAUAUUGUUUUGCUAUUUGUAAACUUUCAAGAUAUACUCAUAAUCC
rnacentral:misc_RNA from 1 species